rnacentral:lncRNA from 1 species
UUCUCUCAACCUUUUUAGUAAAUAGCACAUUAGGCAAAACCGUACCCUUCAAACAGAAACCGCAUAAGUGGAUCCCGUAGAGUACUACGGAUGCGUAGGGGUGCUAAUACCUUCCCUUCGCAUAACCGACUCCCGAACCCAAGAUUUGGUUGCGAGACCUUGUCUUUUUCUUUCCUAUUUUCAGGUUUACUUCGAGCGUUUCCUUUCCCUCCUUUGGGAUAAAUAACGCACGGUGGCGACUCUCCUGUCUUUUUUCUUCGCCG